rnacentral:rRNA from 1 species
GACGGAGGAUGCAAGUGUUAUCCGGAAUCACUGGGCGUAAAGCGUCUGUAGGUGGUCAAAUAAGUCAACUGUUAAAUCUUGAGGCUCAACCUCAAAAUCGCAGUCGAAACUAUUCGACUAGAGUAUAGUAGGGGUAAAGGGAAGUUUCCAGUGGAGCGGUGGAAAUGCGUAGAGAUUGGAAAGAACACCGAUGGCGAAGGCGACUUUACUGGGCUAUUACUAACACUGAGAGACGGAAAGCUAGGGUAGCAAAUGGG